AGGCAAUUAGUUUAAUAAAAACAUUUGGUUUCGGCCCAAAAGCUUGUGGUUUAAGUCCGCAAUCACCUA
rnacentral:tRNA from 1 species